GGCGUCGCUAAUGCAAUUGGUUAGCACGCGCUACCGGAAAGGAUGAAAUGCGGGUUCGAUUCCCGCCUGACGUCA